rnacentral:rRNA from 1 species
AAUCCAUAGGUUAAUGAGGCGAACCGGGGGAACUGAAACAUCUAAGUACCCCGAGGAAAAGAAAUCAACCGAGAUUCCCCCAGUAGCGGCGAGCGAACGGGGAGGAGCCCAGAGCCUGAAUCAGCAUGUGUGUUAGUGGAAGCGUCUGGAAAGGCGCGCGAUACAGGGUGACAGCCCCGUACACAAAAGCGCAUGUGCUGUGAGCUCGAUGAGUAGGGCGGGACACGUGGUAUCCUGUCUGAAUAUGGGGGGACCAUCCUCCAAGGCUAAAUACUCCUGACUGACCGAUAGUGAACCAGUACCGUGAGGGAAAGGCGAAAAGAACCCCGGCGAGGGGAGUGAAAAAGAACCUGAAACCGUGUACGUACAAGCAGUGGGAGCACCCUUUGGGGUGUGACUGCGUACCUUUUGUAUAAUGGGUCAGCGACUUAUAUUCUGUAGCAAGGUUAACCGUAUAGGGGAGCCGGAGGGAAACCGAGUCUUAAUUGGGCGUUAAGUUGCAGGGUAUAGACCCGAAACC